UAGAGUUUGAUCCUGGCUCAGAUUGAACGCUGGCGGCAUGCCUUACACAUGCAAGUCGAACGGUAACAGGUCUUCGGAUGCUGACGAGUGGCGAACGGGUGAGUAAUACAUCGGAACGUGCCUAGUAGUGGGGGAUAACUACUCGAAAGAGUGGCUAAUACCGCAUGAGAUCUACGGAUGAAAGCAGGGGAUCGCAAGACCUUGUGCUACUAGAGCGGCCGAUGGCAGAUUAGGUAGUUGGUGGGAUAAAAGCUUACCAAGCCGACGAUCUGUAGCUGGUCUGAGAGGACGAUCAGCCACACUGGGACUGAGACACGGCCCAGACUCCUACGGGAGGCAGCAGUGGGGAAUUUUGGACAAUGGGCGCAAGCCUGAUCCAGCAAUGCCGCGUGCAGGAUGAAGGCCUUCGGGUUGUAAACUGCUUUUGUACGGAACGAAAAGCCCUGGGUUAAUACCCUGGGGUCAUGACGGUACCGUAAGAAUAAGCACCGGCUAACUACGUGCCAGCAGCCGCGGUAAUA
rnacentral:rRNA from 1 species